rnacentral:sRNA from 1 species
AGCAUACGGACGUCGUGGUCGGUUCCGUGAACGCUCGUUGUUUGUUUCGGCAAGUAAUAUCGUUUUACAAAAUAGCUCAACAAAUAUAAAAUAUAUACAUAUACCUACAUACAUAUGUGUGCAUUGCUUAAGAUUAUCAAGAAAUCAUAAUAAAGAAAAUCGAAAGAGAAGUCAGCUACAAAAGCAAAUAAGAAAUGUGAGUAGAUUUCAAGAAAUCACAAAUGCGUGUGCCGACACACAUGUAUAUCAAUUUAUUACAUACAAACGUACAUGUUUGUGCGUCCGUGCGUGCGUGCGUGAAGGUGUGUGUGUAUGCGAGAGGUGCAAAAUAAAAUUCACAAACGGUAAAAUAAAUGAAUAAAAUUGUGUACACAAAGUGAGCUGUGAAAUUGCGGCGCAAAAACAAAGCCCGCAAAUUAAACGAAGAGGAAGUGUAAAAAAAAAAAUAAAAUUUAUUAAUUCAAACCUACAUCUAGGAAAGUGCGUCGUUUUUAUUUUGAUAUCGAUAGAAAAAUAAAAAUACAUUAGAAGUGCGCCUCAUUUGUCUUACAGACAAAUAUACCUGCUAAUGUUUUCAUACAUAUGCAUUAUUGUGCAUGCAUGUGUUUGCCUGUGUGUGCGUGUGCGUGUGCAAAGUGCAACAUAAACAAACGAAAAUGUUUUUCAAGAAUGCAAAAAGGUACGAAAAAAUGCAUCGCUAGAAUGAGGUGAAUACUCGAAAUGCAAAUAUAUAAGAAUAUAUGUGAAACCGAAAAAAAAAUUAAAAACCUUAAGAGGAACGGGCGAUGAUAACAGCAAAUCAACUGCAUCACAUGUAACUCGGAGAAGAGCCAAAGCACAACAAUAAAGCAAUAAACAAAAGAAACUUCAUCGAAUCGAGAGUCAGCCGGCAGCCUGAAAUGCAUAACAAACAGUCUCCCUGUUGGUUCGAUGACAUUCAGAUUACAGAUAAUUGGAGGCAUUUAGAUCGAUGAUCUGAUUGAUCCUUCGACAGCAUCGUGCUAGAAAUUGGAAUUUGGGAAUGGAAUGGAAUAGAAUGGGGGAGGAGAACAACUUUUCCCUGUCCGUCAAUAAUUGACAGUUGGUUUUAUUUCGCUCCCCAUUUCUGCUCAAUGGUAUUUCCGCAUGGCCCACUUUCCAGCCACUCACGCUGCAAUUAAUAUCAAGAAAAUUCCAAAAAACAAGAAAAGCGCCCAGCCUAAAUAAUGUGUAACAAAUGGCGCGCCUGUCACAGCAACAAAAUAACAAGAAGAACGACUGCAACUGCAA